AGGAUAAACGCUGGCGGCGUGCCUAACACAUGCAAGUCGAACGCGCUUUCGGGCUUCGGUGCGAGAGCGAGUGGCGGACGGGUGAGUAACACAUGGGUACCUGCCUUUCAGUGAGGGAUACCGGCGAGAAAUCGCCGACAAUACCGCAUGGGCUUGUGGGAACACAAGCAAAGUGGCGCAAGUCACGCUGGAAGAUGGGCCUGUGGCCGAUUAGCUAGUUGGGGGGGUAAUGGCCUCCCAAGGCGACGAUCGGUAGCUGGUCUGAGAGGACGAUCAGCCACACUGGGAUUGAGAACGGCCCAGACUCCUACGGGGGGCAGCAGUGAGGAAUUUUCCGCAAUGGACGAAAGUCUGACGGAGCAACGCCGCGUGCAGGAGGAAGGUUUUCGGAUCGUAAACUGCUUUUCGUCGGGGACGAGCAAGGACGGUACCCGAGGAAGAAGCCCCGGCUAACUACGUGCCAGCAGCCG
rnacentral:rRNA from 1 species